rnacentral:rRNA from 1 species
UCCAGACUCCUACGGGAGGCAGCAGUGGGGAAUAUUGCACAAUGGGGGAAACCCUGAUGCAGCGACGCCGCGUGAGCGAAGAAGUAUUUCGGUAUGUAAAGCUCUAUCAGCAGGGAAGAAAUUGACGGUACCUGAGUAAGAAGCUCCGGCUAAAUACGUGCCAGCAGCCGCGGUAAUACGUAUGGAGCAAGCGUUAUCCGGAUUUACUGGGGGUAAAGGGAGCGUAGGCGGCCGGCCAAGUCUGAUGUGAAAUUCCGGGGCUCAACCCCGGGGCUGCAUUGGAAACUGGCAGGCUGGAGUGUCGGAGAGGCAGGCGGAAUUCCUAGUGUAGCGGUGAAAUGCGUAGAUAUUAGGAGGAACACCAGUGGCGAAGGCGGCCUGCUGGACGAUGACUGACGCUGAGGCUCGAAAGCGUGGGGAGCAAACAGGAUUAGAUCCCCGCGUA